CAGUAUCUCCCUUGCUGUGUUCUGUUAUGAUACAGUAAGAAAAACCGUUAUAACCUGAAUAAGAACUUGAUCAUAAGAUUCUUUUAAUUGCGCAACAAGAAUCACAAUACAUGCUACCAGAGCAAGUCCAAAGAACAACUUCAGGGUUUAACUCUGCAAGUGCAUCAAGAACUAUCCAAGCCUACUUAUGCUGAUUACAUGCUGCUCCACAUUUUUCAAUGGCUUGAGUUAAAUUAAAACCAUAGAAUGUGGUUUAAAACUUCAAAUUAUGAUUCAAAUUGUCAUAUCAGUGAGUGAAAUCAUAAGGUAACACAACAACACAG